GCACUGAUUUGAACAAUGAAGCGAGUGGCGAACUGGUGAGUAACACGUGGGAAAUCUGCCCAGAAGCAGGGGAUAACACUUGGAAACAGGUGCUAAUACCGUAUAACAACAAAAUCCGCAUGGAUUUUGUUUGAAAGGUGGCUUCGGCUAUCACUUCUGGAUGAUCCCGCGGCGUAUUAGUUAGUUGGUGAGGUAAAGGCCCACCAAGACGAUGAUACGUAGCCGACCUGAGAGGGUAAUCGGCCACAUUGGGACUGAGACACGGCCCAAACUCCUACGGGAGGCAGCAGUAGGGAAUCUUCCACAAUGGACGAAAGUCUGAUGGAGCAAUGCCGCGUGAGUGAAGAAGGGUUUCGGCUCGUAAAACUCUGUUGUUAAAGAAGAACACCUUUGAGAGUAACUGUUCAAGGGUUGACGGUAUUUAACCAGAAAGCCACGGCUAACUACGUGCCAGCAGCCGCGGUAAUACGUAGGUGGCAAGCGUUGUCCGGAUUUAUUGGGCGUAAAGCGAGUGCAGGCGGUUUUUUAAGUCUGAUGUGAAAGCCUUCGGCUUAACCGGAGAAGUGCAUCGGAAACUGGGAGACUUGAGUGCAGAAGAGGACAGUGGAACUCCAUGUGUAGCGGUGGAAUGCGUAGAUAUAUGGAAGAACACCAGUGGCGAAGGCGGCUGUCUAGUCUGUAACUGACGCUGAGGCUCGAAAGCAUGGGUAGCGAACAGGAUUAGAUACCCUGGUAGUCCAUGCCGUAAACGAUGAGUGCUAAGUGUUGGAGGGUUUCCGCCCUUCAGUGCUGCAGCUAACGCAUUAAGCACUCCGCCUGGGGAGUACGACCGCAAGGUUGAAACUCAAAGGAAUUGACGGGGGCCCGCACAAGCGGUGGAGCAUGUGGUUUAAUUCGAAGCUACGCGAAGAACCUUACCAGGUCUUGACAUCUUCUGCCAAUCUUAGAGAUA
rnacentral:rRNA from 2 species